AACUUUCGACAACGGAUCACUAGGUUCUGGCAUCGAUGAAGUACGCAGCGAAAUGCGAUAAGUAAUGUGAAUUGCAGAAUUCAGUGAAUCAUCGAAUCUUUGAACGCACCUUGCGCUCCUUGGUAUUCCGAGGAGCAUGCCUGUUUGAGUGUCAUGAAAUUCUCAACUGCUUCAAUUUGAAGUGAAGUUGGACUUUGGAGGAUAAUUGCUGGCGCAACUUUGUUGCUUGUCAGCUCCUCUUGAAUAAAUUCGCAUACCUUUCCGGGGCAAAGUAACGACCGAUGUGAUAAUUAUCUACGUUGGACGUAAAAGACCCUACAAGGUGUGUGUUUGGGGAAGGCAUGACAAAUUUGACCUCAAAUCAGGUAGGACUACCCGCUGAACUUAAGCAUAUCAAUAAGCGGAGGCU
rnacentral:misc_RNA from 1 species